rnacentral:rRNA from 1 species
AUUGAACGCUGGCGGCAUGCCUUACACAUGCAAGUCGAACGGCAGCACGGGAGCAAUCCUGGUGGCGAGUGGCGAACGGGUGAGUAAUACAUCGGAACGUGUCCAGUAGUGGGGGAUAACCCGGCGAAAGCCGGACUAAUACCGCAUACGACCUACGGGUGAAAGCGGGGGAUCGCAAGACCUCGCGCUAUCGGAGCGGCCGAUGUCAGAUUAGCUAGUUGGUGGGGUAAAGGCCUACCAAGGCGACGAUCUGUAGCUGGUCUGAGAGGACGACCAGCCACACUGGGACUGAGACACGGCCCAGACUCCUACGGGAGGCAGCAGUGGGGAAUUUUGGACAAUGGGCGCAAGCCUGAUCCAGCUAUGCCGCGUGCGGGAAGAAGGCCUUCGGGUUGUAAACCGCUUUUGUCAGGGAAGAAACGCUCCGGGCUAAUACCACGGAGUAAUGACGGUACCUGAAGAAUAAGCACCGGCUAACUACGUG